UACGGAGGGUGCAAGCGUUGCUCGGAAUUACUGGGCGUAAAGGGCGUGUAGGCGGUUUCGUAUGUCUGGCGUGAAAGCCCCGGGCUCACCUCGGGAAGUGCGUCGGAAACUGCGAGACUAGAGUCCCGGAGAGGGAGGUGGAAUUCCAGGUGUAGCGGUGAAAUGCGUAGAUAUGACUUAGAACACCAAUUGCGAAGGCAGCUUGCUAAACAAAUAUUGACGCUGAGGCACGAAAGCGUGGGGAUCAAACAGG
rnacentral:rRNA from 1 species